UCAGGCACCUUUUGGCAUCGACUGCAAGCACCAGCCCUAUUCAGUGCUUGAGCAGUGCUUGCGUGCUUGGAAAUGGUGCCAGCAGCAGCAGGAGAAUUAAGGUUGAAGGGAAGCUGAGGAUGGCAUGUUCUCUUCCCAUCGGAUGGGUCCUUUUCCUGAAGAGAAAGGGAGGAAGAGGACAUUGAAGACAAAACAUGCAAAGAAAAUCUCAAGUCAAGUUUGAUUUUAAAUAGAGCAAGAUGUUAUGAGAAGCUGUAUGGUGAGGAACUGUACCAUGUUUGUUCAGAUUGGCUUUCCUGGUUGAUAGCAAGUGUGACAUUUCUAAUGAAAGGGUUUCAGAGUGAGGAGUGGAUGUUGAUUACUACAUUGCAUUACUCAAAGGUGAGAUAGCACUUAUUCACUACUGUUGUGAUAGAAUGGGGAAUCCUAGAAAUUUUCCUAUUUGUUAGCAACCAACAACUACUGCUUCACAGUCUCAUGUAAUGGCUUUAAUGGACCUUGGGGCCUUUACAGGACA